rnacentral:rRNA from 1 species
GACGAACGCUGGCGGCGUGCCUAAUACAUGCAAGUAGAACGCUGAAGGAGGAGCUUGCUUCUCCGGAUGAGUUGCGAACGGGUGAGUAACGCGUAGGUAACCUGCCUGGUAGCGGGGGAUAACUAUUGGAAACGAUAGCUAAUACCGCAUAACAGUAGAUGUUGCAUGACAUUUGCUUAAAAGGUGCAAUUGCAUCACUACCAGAUGGACCUGCGUUGUAUUAGCUAGUUGGUGAGGUAACGGCUCACCAAGGCGACGAUACAUAGCCGACCUGAGAGGGGGAUCGGCCACACUGGGACUGAGACACGGCCCAGACUCCUACGGGAGGCAGCAGUAGGGAAUCUUCGGCAAUGGACGGAAGUCUGACCGAGCAACGCCGCGUGAGUGAAGAAGGUUUUCGGAUCGUAAAGCUCUGUUGUAAGAGAAGAACGAGUGUGAGAGUGGAAAGUUCACACUGUGACGGUAUCUGACCAGAAAGGGACGGCUAACUACGUG